GGAUCGCAAGACCUUGCGCGAAUGGAGCGGCCGAUGGCAGAUUAGGUAGUUGGUGAGGUAAAGGCUCACCAAGCCUUCGAUCUGUAGCUGGUCUGAGAGGACGACCAGCCACACUGGGACUGAGACACGGCCCAGACUCCUACGGGAGGCAGCAGUGGGGAAUUUUGGACAAUGGGCGCAAGCCUGAUCCAGCCAUGCCGCGUGCAGGAUGAAGGCCUUCGGGUUGUAAACUGCUUUUGUACGGAACGAAAAGUCUCUUUCUAAUAAAGAGGGAUCAUGACGGUACCGUAAGAAUAAGCACCGGCUAACUACGUGCCAGCAGCCGCGGUAAUACGUAGGGUGCAAGCGUUAAUCGGAAUUACUGGGCGUAAAGCGUGCGCAGGCGGUUUUGUAAGUCAGAUGUGAAAUCCCCGGGCUUAACCUGGGAACUGCGUUUGAA
rnacentral:rRNA from 1 species